GACGAACGCUGGCGGCGUGCCUAAUACAUGCAAGUCGAGCGGAACUGGGGGAGCUUGCUCCUUCCAGUUUAGCGGCGGACGGGUGAGUAACACGUGGGCAACCUGCCCUGCAGAUCGGGAUAACUCCGGGCAACCGGUGCUAAUACCGAAGAGUUUGGCGCCUCUCCUGAGGCGCCACGGAAAGACGGUUUCGGCUGUCACUGCAGGAUGGGCCCGCGGCGCAUUAGCUAGUUGGUGGGGUAACGGCCCACCAAGGCGACGAGGCGUAGCCGACCUGAGAGGGUGAUCGGCCACACUGGGACUGAGACACGGCCCAGACUCCUGCGGGGGGCAGCAGUAGGGACUCUUCCGCAACGGAGGCAAGGCUGACGGAGCAACGCCGCGUGAGUGACGAAGGUUUUCGGAUCGUAAAACUCUGUUGUGAGGGAAGAGCACGUACCAACUAACUAUUGGUACCUUGACGGUACCUCACCAGAAAGCCACGGCCAACUACGUGCCAGCAGCCGCGGUAA
rnacentral:rRNA from 1 species